rnacentral:rRNA from 1 species
GACGAACGCUGGCGGCGUGCUUAACACAUGCAAGUCGAACGGAAAGGCCCCUUUGGGGGUACUCGAGUGGCGAACGGGUGCGUAACACGUGAGUAACCUGCCCUUGACUUCGGGAUAACUUCAGGAAACUGGGGCUAAUACCGGAAAGGAAUCCUUGCUGCAUGGUGGGGGUUGGAAAGCUUCGGCGGUUUUGGAUGGACUCGCGGCUUAUCAGCUUGUUGGUGGGGUAGUGGCUUACCAAGGCUUUGACGGGUAGCCGGCCUGAGAGGGCGACCGGCCACAUUGGGACUGAGAUACGGCCCAGACUCCUACGGGAGGCAGCAGUGGGGAAUAUUGCACAAUGGGCGGAAGCCUGAUGCAGCAACGCCGCGUGCGGGAUGACGGCCUUCGGGUUGUAAACCGCUUUCAGCAGGGGCGAAGCUUGUGGUGACGGUACCUGCAGAAGAAGCACCGGCUAACUACGUG